AAUGACUUUUUACACCGGUUCCUAUUAAAUUGUUGCGAAAUGUUUUAGAAAAAAACCGGUUUAUGGCUCUCUUUCUUCUACUUUCUUUUUUCCCCCCUGCUUUCCCUCUUCGUUCUGCUCUUCUCUUUCCCUCUCGUUUUCGCAUCUCCUUCUCUUCCCGAACUCCACUCCAUUGAAGCAGCUCGCUCUCUCUCCGUUGAAGUGGUUUACGAGCUUUCUCACUCCAUUGAAGCAGCGCCUCCUUGUCUCUCCAUAUCUCUGGCCUCAAUUGAACUCGUGCUCUAUAUUCUCCAUUGAAGCCGAUUCUGAGCUUUCUCACCUCCAUUGAAGCAGCUUCGAGGGUUCUGGUUUUAUUUCUAUUUUUUGUCGAACAAAAUACGUAGAAGGAGAGAGUAGGUACUACCCGUCGCCACUCACCCUUCGCCGGCCACCCUCCGUUCCCCUCAGCCGUCCUUCGUGCGUCGGCUAUCGACCACCAGAAAAGCUCAUUGCAGGUUGCUAGUCACUCAUGAUGAUUAUAGCAUGAUGACUAAGCUACCACAGAAUAAGACAUCAGUGGUGACAAUAUUAAGAAACCCAGUUGAUCGUGUAUUCAGUACAUAUUUAUUUUCGAUUGCAGUAGCUGCUAGAUUUUUGGUGCAUCCUAACUUAACUUCUGCCAUACAAAUGGCUGGACGUUUGUGAAAGAAAAACAAUGUGGUUAGCACGCUGAAUAUAUGGCCAUGAAAGUAUUUGGUUCCAUGGAUGAGAGAAGACCUAUUUGCUAGGGGAUGAAAAGCAAUUUUCCCAAGGGUGGAAAUCAAUUUCCUUUUGUAAGUAAUUAACACAUUUUCCACUCUACUCCUUGUCUUUCUUAUUCUCUCCUCCCAUCCAUUCUCUCCCUUUUACUUUUCUCCAUAACUUUUCUGGUAUGCUACCAAACAAAGGAGAGUUUAUCAGGUUUAUUUGCAUUAAUAUACUUCGUACAAAGGAGUGUUAAAUGAGCACCGAAAUAGGUAGUUUAAUCGCUACUCUUUCUUGAUUUUUAUGUUUAAUUUGUUAAAUUUUUCUAUUUUUAUUUGCGUAUUUCUUGAUUAAAUUUGUAGAUUGAAGCAGAUUUAUGGUUUGGUAUAUACCUGUGUUUGUUGAUUCUGGGGGAUUUGAAGAGUGCAUGAAUUUCCUGGAGUACCUGAAUGGCUGUAAUCACAACUGGGAUAAAGCUUUCAUUGGCUAAAAUGCCAUUUCAGAGAGGCAGAAAGAUUUUGGUUAUUGGAAUCUAGUCAAGGUAUUAGGACAGAAGCAAUAAAGAGUUAUUACCUGGUCAGUCCUCCUUCAACAGGGAUAUUUGAUGUAUGGUGCUUGCACAUACCUGUCAAGGAUCAAACUCCAUUCCAAGAACUGGUAUUGCUGGUUGAGGAAACUGUAAGGUCAGAGAAUCUUCGGUCCCAUGAGAAACCCAUUUAUCUUGUUGGAGAAUCAAUUGGAGGAUGUAUUGCAUUGGCUGUGGCUGCUCGAAAUCCUGAUAUUGAUCUUGUACUCAUUUUGGCUAAUCCUGCUACAUGUUAUAGCAAAUCAAACCUGCUACUUCUAUUUCCUUUACUAAAAAUCAUCCCCAAUGACAUUUCUCUGAUCAGUAUAUGAAACAUGCUCGGCCUUAUGACAGGUUUAGUUUCCUUUUCAUUUAUCUGAUUUUGUGUUGCUUCAUAUCUAUUUCCUAAUCUUCCUAGGUUCUUUUAAUCAAAGGCUCUUUGAUACCUCUUUAGCAGAGCAGGUGUAGGGUCCUAAUUAAUUUGUGCUCUAAGUUACUCAUAAUUAAUGGUCCUACACCAUAGAUAUAAGUGUGAGGGUGAAAAUGCAAUGUCCUCCUUUGAUGACUGUAGUGCUCCACAUAUUCAAAUUCUGUCAUCAACAAAACUUUAAUUUAUUUAUUUUGGUUAAAAUCCAUUUUAAGGUGUGUAAUUUUUGCCUAUUGUUUAGUUUUUAUUCUAUUUUUUUUGUUGGUGGUGUGGGUUUCUUGUUGGUGGUGUGUGUUUCUGUCUUGUUCAAGCUGUUAGGAUGCCUGGUCUGAACUUCUGGCUUUCUGUUUGCUGUCUGCUGUUCUGCCUGCUGUCUGCUGUUGUGGUUGCGCUGCUGUGUUCAGUGCUGCUUUGCUGACAAGCUGCUAUACGUUUGUGCUGCUGUUGCACUGUUGUGCUGUUGGUCUGCUGGUUUUGACAGCUCGUGUUGGGUCUGGUGCUGGCUGCCUAACCAUGGUGUAGCUUCUGGUUGCUGUUUUGCUUGUAGCUGCUGUUGGGGUUGCUGGUUGUGGUGUGGUUGUGCUGUCUCAUUCUCUGUUGCAGGCUUGGGGUCAGUGGGAGCUGCUGCAGUCUGCUGUUUUUUUUUUUGCCUUAGUUUUUAUUCUAUUUAUCAAAGAUGUAGUGCUCUUUAUCAGAUGUAUGACACAAAUAUUGAAGAAAAUAUGUGUUUUAUGUAUAUUAUGAACUAAUUAACCAGCGUAAACAAUUUAAGUGCAAAAAACAAAAAAAUAAAUAAAAAUUGGGGCACUUUUGGCUAUACGUUUGUGCUGCUGUUGCACUGUUGUGCUGUUGGUCUGCUGGUUUUGACAGCUCGUGUUGGGUCUGGUGCUGGCUGCCUAACCAUGGUGUAGCUUCUGGUUGCUGUUUUGCUUGUAGCUGCUGUUGGGGUUGCUGGUUGUGGUGUGGUUGUGCUGUCUCAUUCUCUGUUGCAGGCUUGGGGUCAGUGGGAGCUGCUGCAGUCUGCUGUUUUUUUUUUUGCCUUAGUUUUUAUUCUAUUUAUCAAAGAUGUAGUGCUCUUUAUCAGAUGUAUGACACAAAUAUUGAAGAAAAUAUGUGUUUUAUGUAUAUUAUGAACUAAUUAACCAGCGUAAACAAUUUAAGUGCAAAAAACAAAAAAAUAAAUAAAAAUUGGGGCACUUUUGGCUAUACGUUUGUGCUGCUGUUGCACUGUUGUGCUGUUGGUCUGCUGGUUUUGACAGCUCGUGUUGGGUCUGGUGCUGGCUGCCUAACCAUGGUGUAGCUUUUGGUUGCUGUUUUGCUUGUAGCUGCUGUUGGGGUUGCUGGUUGUGGUGUGGUUGUGCUGUCUCAUUCUCUGUUGCAGGCUUGGGGUCAGUGGGAGCUGCUGCAGUCUGCUGUUUUUUUUUUGCCUUAGUUUUUAUUCUAUUUAUCAAAGAUGUAGUGCUCUUUAUCAGAUGUAUGACACAAAUAUUGAAGAAAAUAUGUGUUUUAUGUAUAUUAUGAACUAAUUAACCAGCGUAAACAAUUUAAGUGCAAAAAACAAAAAAAUAAAUAAAAAUUGGGGCACUUUUGGCUAUACGUUUGUGCUGCUGUUGCACUGUUGUGCUGUUGGUCUGCUGGUUUUGACAGCUCGUGUUGGGUCUGGUGCUGGCUGCCUAACCAUGGUGUAGCUUCUGGUUGCUGUUUUGCUUGUAGCUGCUGUUGGGGUUGCUGGUUGUGGUGUGGUUGUGCUGUCUCAUUCUCUGUUGCAGGCUUGGGGUCAGUGGGAGCUGCUGCAGUCUGCUGUUUUUUUUUUGCCUUAGUUUUUAUUCUAUUUAUCAAAGAUGUAGUGCUCUUUAUCAGAUGUAUGACACAAAUAUUGAAGAAAAUAUGUGUUUUAUGUAUAUUAUGAACUAAUUAACCAGCGUAAACAAUUUAAGUGCAAAAAACAAAAAAAU